rnacentral:lncRNA from 1 species
AAAAUUUCAAGAGCUGCGAUGAAGUCAACAUGAGAAGGUGAAGGUAACUUGGUAGAGUCCAUCUAAUAAGACCCAGACAAGAAGAAAGAACUGCGAGGCCUUUCUGAUAUUAUCAUAGUUUACUUGAACAACUCAAGACUCGAUUAUAAUAGUGUUUGGCUUGGUGGAUUGAAAUACUAGUCUUCUGUCCUAAGGAAGCACCAAUGAAU